GACGAACGCUGGCGGCGUGCCUAAUACAUGCAAGUAGAACGCUGAGGGCGGAGCUUGCUUCUCUGGAUGAGUUGCGAACGGGUGAGUAACGCGUAGGUAACCUGCCUGGUAGCGGGGGAUAACUAUUGGAAACGAUAGCUAAUACCGCAUAAGAGUAGAUGUUGCAUGACAUUUGCUUAAAAGGUGCAAUUGCAUCACUACCAGAUGGACCUGCGUUGUAUUAGCUAGUUGGUGAGGUAACGGCGCACCAAGGCAACGAUACAUAGCCGACCGGAGAGGGGGGGUGGCCGCACUGAGAGUGAGACACGGCCCAGAGUGCUACGGGAAGGAGCAGGAGGGAAACUGCGGGAAGGGGCGGAAGACUGACCGAGCAACGCGGCGGGAGGGAAGAAGGUUGUCGGAUCGGAAAGCUCUGUUGUAAGAGAAGAACGAGUGUGAGCGUGGAAAGAUCACACUGUGACGGUAUCUGACCAGGAAGCGACGGCUAACUACGUG
rnacentral:rRNA from 1 species